rnacentral:lncRNA from 1 species
GCAAUUUAUCCCUGACUCUGGUCCAGAUAGAAAAUGAAACAGGAUAACUUUUAGAGGCCUAAUACAGCAGUAUGUAUUAACCAAUUAAAGUAGUUCGAGGCAAUAGAAGUUGCCUACAACCAUAGAGACCGGCCAUCAAAGUACUUUAAGAUGCUACGCAGCCAUUAUCCUGAGCUGACAUGCAGCCGAUUACACCAUUUCUAAGACAGAAGUCCUCAUGGUCACCUUAGUUCCUUUGGAAGCUGAGAUUGACCAGAAGAGGAAAAUGAGAAUCACAAUGACAGAGAAGCUGUAGCGUUAGCUUAAGGAGGAGGCACUCAUUUAAGGACCAAUCACUCUUCUACCUAGAGAGCAGAAGGUUCUGGAAAACCUUCAAAGACCUCCUCUUCUCUCCUCAAUAACUCUUCCAGUCUGCUCAAGGGAAAAUUGCCCUCCUUGGUAACUUUAGUCAGUCAAUUUACCCUAGGAGAAAAUAAAAUAAGAUUUUCUAUUUCAUAGUCCAUUUGCAGAUUUUGCCUUUUGAAAUUCUACCUUUCGGAGAGACAGUCUAUAUAUGA